rnacentral:lncRNA from 1 species
AGCCCCGAAGAGGGGAUAAAACAUCCUCUUUUUUAUUUUCAGCAGGUGUUUAUCCUCACAGAUAUAUCAAAUGAUAUAUCUCAGCUGCCAAGUACGUUGCUUUUGAGUGGUGCCAAUUUUAACCUGAAUCAAAUUUUAAUGGUAUUAUUUUCAAACCAAGAAAAUGAAUUAUAUAAAAGGAAAUGACCACUGCAUCCUUAACUACCAUACAGCCUCCAAGUAACCCUUCAUGUCAACCUUCGGAGCACAUGCUGAAUUGAAUUUCUCCAUCAAUGGACAGAAAAUUGGUCACAAGUGCCAUGCUAUGACUCUACAAUACCACUGCUUUUUUGUUUCAAUUUGUUUUGUUUUGUUUUCAUUUUAAUUCAACAGGGUAAUUUACUGUUCAUCUCAUUUUGCAUUUCUAAGAUCUUCACCCUCUGUAUAGCCAGCUCAAAACUUAAAAUAUCUAUGCUCUUUCUUUACCCUUCCUCUUAAGGAUACCAAUAACAUUUCUGUGUUUUUAAAAAUUAAUAUUUUUGUGCAGAUUGAGAAGAAUGUUCCUAAGCAAGUUUCAAAUAAGUCUCAAUGAUUCUAUAAAUCUUUUUAACAGCCCCCAUCAGGCCAAACCCUGUGUUUUCAGAAAAAAUGACUUGCAGUAUCUUUUCCAAAUAAGUAUUUGAUUUUUUUUUCUCCAGGAAAUAGCUUAAAGCUAAAGCAAUAGAUAAUUAGUUUGCUUAAGACCAAAUUAAUUAAAACUCAAUGGCUAAAUUUCUUUGAGUAGCAUUUACUAAAUGUGAAUGCUUUAAUACAAAACAAGAAAUCUAACUUUGGAGACUUUUUCUGCAAAUUAUUGGACCGUAAGAGAGACCUAUGUUUCCUGGUUCAGGGUGGUUUUAAAAAAAGAAAGAAGCGAUAAUCUGGAGUUGGAACUUGGUUAUUUUGUGAUGGUACUCAGAAUCCUAUAACAGAAAUGUCAAUAAUCUACAGAUAUCUGGAUGACUAAGAAUGUUCAUGGAUUAUUCAUAUUUUUUGCAAAAUGGAUACAUCUAAUCAGUGGAUGAAUUCAACCUUCCUUAUCUAGGUUUUACUGUGUGAAAUACUUUCAAUAUAUGCUUGCAAAAAGUUAUCAAUAAUUCAUCCAGAAGAGGUUAGGUAGUAAGUAUCAAGCUGGUUUUGUCCAACGGGAUAUUUUAGACUAAAAUGUGGAUGAUUCCAAAGAAAAGUUACGGUCCCUGGAAAGAAAAUUUUAUAAUUCCCUCUAAAAGUUUCUGACUCUCCUUCUAUGAGGCUGCAAAAGAUUUUUUUUUAAUUAGAAGCAAAAAUCAUUGAAAUAAUGUGUGUAAAAAAUGGAGAAAAGAUGAGGAAAUAAAGAAAAAAUAGAAACUCUAGUGGAGACGGUUAAGUGCCAAUAAGUUCAAGAAGAAUUUACUUGGCAUUUAUUUUGCAUUUGGCAGGAUACUCUGUUAGGCAUAGAGAGUGUACAGUAGUGAGGGCAAGAGACUUCUGACUAAUUACGGUUUGGCAUGAUAAGUACUACCAUAGGGAAGAGGUAUAAAAAGUGCUGAAAGAACACAUAAAAAAAGGAAUUCACUCUGCCAUGAUAGGACUCAUGAGAAGAUGUAAUAUUUUCGAUCCUCUUUAAAAAACAUAUUUUUACUUUUAGCAAGUCCUUUAGUUACCAUCCCUACUUUGAAGUUAUUGAAGUUCUGUUUCAUAGGGACUUUCAAAACUUUCACCUGUUUCCUGUCGCUGACUUCAUUAUUUUAAAUUCUGUUAAUACUACUUUUGUGUAUUUUUCUUAUUUUUGACAUUAUCAAUUAAAAGAUUUCUAACACCUCUCUCCCUAUUUUAUUUUUCCUAGUAUAGUUAAACCACAUUUUUAUGACUCUAAAUGUCUGAAAGAUACUGAGGAAUCAAGCUGAAAAAUAUUAUAUUUCUUUUGUUCCUUUUUUUUUUUUUUUUUUUUUUGGUCUUUUUAGGGCCACAUCGUGGCAUGUGGAAGUUCCAAGGCUAGGAGUCGAAUUGGAGCUGUAGCUGCUGGCCUACACCAUAGCCACAGCCACGCCAGAUUCAAGCUGCAUCUGUGACCUACAUGGCAACUCACAGCAACGCAAGAACCUUGACCCACUGAGCAAGGCCAGGGAUCAAACCCACAUCCUCAUGGAUAUUCAUCCUCUGCGCCACAAUGGAAAUACCUCUUUUGUUCAUUUUUUGGUUCAUUUUUCAUCAAUGCAUAUUAUUCUAGAUUUUGCAUUUCUUCAUUUGCUUGGUUUGCAUUUAUCAAUAUACUGUAAAAUUCUUUGAAAUGCCCCAUGAGAACUGAAAAAACAUUUGUUAAUACUGUUUUCUCAGUGUUUGAAUUCUUCAGAUACAAUGUCAGUUUAAUUUUUGGUUGUUGUUUUGGUUGGGUUAUGUUUGUCAGUCUGUGGCCUAAAGUUCUCUCAGAAUUUUCUAUGCUCCUGCUCCAUGGUAGGCUUUCUGCCCUAUGGACAGGUGGGCUUCUGCUUUUCUCUCUGCUUUCUAGAACUUUUUCUUUGUUUGCUAGUAUUAGUUCUCAUGUGUAGUGGAUAUUUAUAAUUCUAUUUUGUGCUCAGUAUCUAAACCCUUUCUGUGUAGCUGAAAUCUUAUAUUUUAUGAGCCCAGCUCCCAUUAUAGAAGUUGAUAUUGGUAGAUUAAGAAUUUUUUAUUCUCUCUUGCCACAGGGGUAUGUACAUCUCACCUGGUUUCUGUGAAUCGGAGCCAUCUAUUCUGAACUUUAAUUUUUUCUUUUCAGGGCUGUAUCAGUGACACAUGGAAAUUCCCAGGCUAGGCAUUGAAUUGGAGCUGCAGGUGCCGGCCUACACCACAGCCACAGCAAUGUGAGAGCUGAGCCAUGUUUACAACCUGCACCACAGCUCAAGGCAAUGCCAGAUUCCUGACCCACUGAGUGAGGUUAGAGAUGGAACCCGCAUCCUCAUGAAUACUAGUCAGAUUCGUUUCUGUUGCACCACAGUGGGAACUCACUCUAUUCUGGACUUUGAAUUCAGAAGCCUUUGACAUAAUACACAGAAAGCAGGCAGCUCAAUCCAGUUGUGACAGAAGCAGCAGUGGUGGGAAUUGUAGCUAGAGCAAAUCGGGUCUAUUGCUGGUGGUCUUGGCAGUAUAACUGGUAGUGUUUAGAUGCCCAGCCUGCACCAGCAUCAUGUCUUCAUAGAUCAGCAUAGAGGACUGAUCAUAGGUGUUACUUCUGGCUUAUUCUGAACUUUCUGGAGCUCCUAUUAGUAUAAUGGUAGAUCACCUAAUUUUCUACUCUCUGUCCAAUUUUAUAAUUUUUUAAUUUUUUAAUUUUUUUUUUUUAGUGGAGGCAGUAUGUUUCUACUUUCACAGAGAUUCUCUCAACUUCAUAGUCCAACUUUUCCGUGGUUUCUUCUUUUAAUUUGAUCAUUUAAAAAAAUUUUUCAAACACUGCAUUCUUGUUCUCCCACUGUUCCUUUAUUACCUUGGUGUUGAUACCAUGGUUACCAGUUUAUGGAUAUGACAUCUUUCCUUAACUCUCUAAGCAUCUCGUUUAUAGAUUUUCUUCAUUAACAUUUGUUUCUUCUCCCGUGCAUUGAGGGUGAGUGGGUCUAUAACAGGGUCCAGGGGCAGGCUCAGUGGCAGGGUCCACAAGCUAGCAGGCCUGGGACCAUGGAGCCUGGGUCUAUGGGAUAGGCCUGGAGUUUGGGUCCACAGUGGCAGGCCUGAUAGCAGGGUCUGCAGCAUUGUCUGCCAGUCACUUGGCUCUCUUGCCUCCACAGAACUUCUGGUCUGAGGGAAUUUCUUUUGGCCUUUCACACUCAGGCUUAGAGGAAGGAUGAGGCAGAUUAAGUAAAAUUGUACUUCCAGCCCUUUUAAAAGCGUCUUUUCUCAUUUCUGCGCUACUCUUGAAUACUGUAAUCUCUCACCUGGAUUCUGGUGCUCUCGUGAAGGUAUUUUCCCUGAUAGAUGGUUGUCAAAUUGGUGUUUUUUUAAGGGCAGUGAAGGCUCGGCCAUUCUGUUCUACCAUCUUGCCGACAUCACUAGCUGAUACAUUUCUGUAUUAUCUUAUUUAAGUAAAUAUUUCACACCUCUUCUUUAAUUUUUCUUCCUACUUUUAUCAUCCUCAAAUAUAUGUCAUUAUUUAUGUAGAAAAAUAUGUAAACAAAACAUGAACACAGGUAUGUAUGUAUGUGCAUAUCUAUGUAUGUAUCUGAUUCAUUCUUUUCAUCCUUUCUUUACUACAAUCCUAAGUAUUGGAUUUCUAAAUGCUGAUCCCUCUCCCUCUUGUCUUUUUGCACUAUUUAGAUUUGCUGUUUAGUAUGAUAGUCAAUAGAAACAUAAGGUUAUUUAAAUUUUAAUUAAAGGAAGUUAAAAAUUAAGUUGUUUGGUCUUAGGCAUAUUUCAAGGACUCAACAGCCACCUGUAGCCAGAAGCUACUGUAUUAAAUAGCACAGACAUAGAACAACUUAAUUAUUGGAGAAAGUGGGAUUCACAAACUCUGAUCUAGAUUAAUGGAUCUCAUUCCUUCCCAUAACCUUCAAAUAUAUGCUGAAGACUCCCAGGUCUGUUUCCUCAUUGAUGGCAGAUCCUGUGUGUAGGCUUACCAACUCAAAAUUCCAUUUCCUUUCUGUCUUAUCUAGCUCUGAUUUAGAGACUCUAGAAACAAAUACUGGUUUUCCAGCUUCCAUGUGACUAGGGACAUGGGAAAGGUACCAUGCUGUGGUUUUGGCCAAUGAGAAAACUUAAUGUGUGCUUUCCCUCCACCUCUGGCUUUGUCAGUAGUUCAUGGCUGGAGCUGGGACCACCGUUUGUAAUCACAAAAAAAGGUAAUGAACCACAUAGAUGGAGACCCUGAGCCAUAGAUGAGAGUGAGCUAUUCACAGAUUUUUAUUAUAUGAGAAACAGUCCACUAUUUAAGCACUGUAUUCUGUUGCCCAAAGCCCAAGAACCUUUCCAGCCAAAUCUGCUAUAGCAUAAUAGAUAUUUUUCAGGAAAAAAAAAAUCUAUUGUCUUCCUCAACCCUCCUACCUAGUUUCCUACACCACCUCAGCAAUUACCAAUCACAGAACUCUCUCCUGUCUGGAAUGUAGAUUCCAUGAAGUCACAAACUGGGCCUGUUUUCUCCAUCCCUGUAUAUGCAAUGUCUAGAAUAAUGUCUGCCAUAUAGUGAGUACUCAAUAAAUACAUGUUUAAUAAAAACUAACAUGCAUAUUCUACUUAGGAGACAAAUAAAUCCAGACAUAAAGCCUCUGAGGAACACAGGUUGCAAAAUGAACUCAGAUGAGGAGUCACCCAGCUAAAACUAUUUCAAAGAAAAUAGAAAUGUCCUAUCUCCUUUAGGCUGGGAAGUGACAGUUAUACCUAUAAAGGAGAGUGGUGAGACAGAGACUUCUUUCAGGCCUUCGUAAAUUCCACGAGAUGUGCUUUUAUUUUAUUUUUUAAUUCAUUUGACUUAAUUGUACAUUGGGAAUAAUAGAGGGUAUUCUAAUAAUGAUGAUGUCUAAUAGAAUCUCCACCAUGUAAGUUCCCCAACUCUACCUACCAUAACAUUUUGACUGUGAUUAAAACAUUAAUUUUCCUCAUUUCAUAAGCACAUUGAAGUGUUGAGAAAUUGCACUAUUUAUUUAAUAUUUACAGCACUCCAGAGGCUGUGCCAAUUCUGGGACAAAUCAUUGCCCAGAGGAUGCAGUUUUAUUAGUCUCAUGAUAUCAAAAUAUGCAUUACAAAUUGUUCUUUAUGACUGCAGUAAAUUCACAUCUUUCCUCAGAAGCUGAAGUUUUUUUGGAGAUCAGUGUUAGAGAGAUACACAGUUAGAAAUGUUUGUCCUGUUGUACUCUGAUUUAUAGUAAAUUAUUACAGUUUGCCAGGUAGUCAUAAUUUUACAAUUUGUGUGAUAUAGUGAAACUAUUUAGUUCUCUGUGAUGGGGAACUGAUCUAUUGCUAAAUGCUAGCUGUCACCCAAGUUCCUCAGUUUAUCAGUCAUUAUUAGUCAUCCUGUUUGUGCUGGCACAUGCCUCAAAAUAAUCUAGUGCACACAAAAAUUUAAAAUAUUUCUUAGACAGUAAUCUUAUCAUGUAUUGCAUUUUAAUGCAUUAUUUCUACCUUUUUAUCCUAUCUACCUGUCUAUAAAGAUAGGAAGAAAUAUAAUUCAGUGGGAACACAAUUAAUUCAGCACUUGCCAUGUGAAAAACACUCUACUCUCUACUCGGAGUUCCCAUCAUGGCGCAGCGGAAACAUCCAAAUCUGACUAGGAACCAUGAGGUUGCAGGUUCGAUCCCUGGCGUCACUCAGUGAGUUAAAGAUCCGGCAUUGCUAUGAGCUGU